UAUGUGUUUACCAUCCAGAGAAGAUACUAAGUAACUAACAAGGCUUUUUUUUUUUUUUUUUUCUACAACCUUGAAUCACAAUGAUGGCUAGCCACGGUUGAGCAGAUCUCUGGGGAUGCUUCCAUAUCCGAUCCAUAGCGAAGUAAGGCUUGUUGCUCAGGGGCUCCAGAACUUGUGAUUUACCGAGAUCUGCAUAAUCACUUCCCCAUCC
rnacentral:lncRNA from 1 species